rnacentral:tRNA from 1 species
GGGGUCGUGGCUCAGUUGGUAGAGCGCUCGUCUAGCAUACGUGAGGCCCUGGGUUCAAUCCUUGGCACCA